rnacentral:rRNA from 1 species
UACGUAGGAUGCAAGCGUUGUCCGGAAUUAUUGGGCGUAAAGAGUUCGUAGGCGGUGAUUUAAGUCUGAUGUUAAAGCCCGGAGCUCAACUCCGGCAUGGCAUUGGAAACUGGAUUGCUAGAGUGUGAUAGAGGUAACUGGAAUUCCAGGUGUAGCGGUGAAAUGCGUAGAUAUCUGGAGGAACACCGGUGGCGAAAGCGAGUUACUGGAUCAUAACUGACGCCGAGGAACGAGAGCCAGGGUAGCAAAAGGG